CACGGUUGUCGCUAGGCGACUCUAAAGAGCUGUCACGACGCGCGACUUUACCACAUCGAUAGAAGUAUUUCAUGAUAGACGCAAUAACAUAAAGUUUUAUUAGAUCAGACCAAGUACAAUCCAAACCAAUCGUCACAAAAAAUUAUAUUGAUACAAUUUUCAAACGGACCAAAGUCACAUCUGUGACCACAGAUUUAGUGAUCAUGAUGAGCAAAAACAUCUAAAAUUGAUAAAAGAUGUUCCACUUAAUGCUUUGAACAAAAUCUAAACGAUCAAAUGGACGUAGUAGCUCAGAAAAAUUAAUAAAAAACGCUAUAAAAUAAAUUGGAAUAUUCUUAAAAUAAAAUUCUGUAGUAUAAUCUAAUUAUAAUACUUUUGAAUUGAA